UGGGGAAUAUUGCACAAUGGGCGGAAGCCUGAUGCAGCGACGCCGCGUGAGGGAUGACGGCCUUCGGGUUGUAAACCUCUUUCAGUAGGGACGAAGCGUAAGUGACGGUACCUGCAGAAGAAGCACCGGCUAACUACGUGCCAGCAGCCGCGGUAAUACGUAGGUCCCGAGCGUUGUCCGGAUUUAUUGGGCGUAAAGCGAGCGCAGGCGGUUAGAAAAGUCUGAAGUGAAAGGCAGUGGCUCAACCAUUGUAGGCUUUGGAAACUGUUUAACUUGAGUGCAGAAGGGGAGAGUGGAAUUCCAUGUGUAGCGGUGAAAUGCGUAGAUAUAUGGAGGAACACCGGUGGCGAAAGCGGCUCUCUGGUCUGUAACGGACGCUGAGGCUCGAAAGCGUGGGGAGCGAACAGG
rnacentral:rRNA from 1 species